rnacentral:rRNA from 1 species
AGACGCUAUUCCCUAAGAUUAACCCAUGCAUGUUUUUGACAUUUGAAAAAUGGACUGCUCAGUAAUACUCACUUUAUUUUAUGUACAUUUGAAAUUAACUACGUUAAAGUGUAGAUAAGAUGUGUACAGUAAGAGUGAGACCUAUCAGCUAGUUGUUAAGGUAAUGGCUUAACAAGGCAGUGACGGGUAACGGUAUUACUUUGUAAUAUUCCGGAGAAGGAGCCUGAGAGACGGCUACUAAGUCUAAGGAUUGCAGCAGGGGCGAAACUUGACCUAUGGAUUUUAUCUGAGGCAGUUUGGGAAGUAAUAUUAUAUUGUUUCAUAUUUUAAAAAUAUAUGAGGUGAUUAAUUGGAGGGCAAAUCAAGUGCCAGCAGCCGCGGUAAUACUUGUUCCAAGAGUGUGUAUGAUGAUUGAUGCAGUUAAAAAGUCCGUAGUUUAUAUUUAAGAAGCAAUAUGAGGUGUACUGUAUAGUUGGGAGAGAGAUGAAAUGUGACGACCCUGACUGGACGAACAGAAGCGAAAGCUGUACACUUGUAUGUAUUUUUUGAACAAGGACGUAAGCUGGAGGAGCGAAGAUGAUUAGAUACCAUUGUAGUUCCAGCAGUAAACUAUGCCGACGAUGUGAUAUGAAUAUUUUGUAUUACAUAAUAGAAAUUAGAGUUUUUUGGCUCUGGGGAUAGUAUGAUCGCAAGAUUGAAAAUUAAAGAAAUUGACGGAAGAAUACCACAAGGAGUGGAUUGUGCGGCUUAAUUUGACUCAACGCGAGGUAACUUACCAAUAUUUUAUUAUUUUGAGAGGAUUUUUAAUCUGAGAAUGAUAAUAGUGGUGCAUGGCCGUUUUCAAUGGAUGCUGUGAAGUUUUGAUUAAUUUCAACAAGACGUGAGACCCUUUUAUUUAGACAGACACAAUCAGUGUAGGAAGGAAAGGAUUAAAACAGGUCCGUUAUGCCCUCAGACAUUUUGGGCUGCACGCGCAAUACAAUAGAUAUAUGAUCUUUAUGGGAUAAUAUUUUGUAAGAGAUAUUUGAACUUGGAAUUGCUAGUAAAUUUUAUUAAAUAAGUAGAAUUGAAUGUGUCCCUGUUCUUUGUACACACCGCCCGUCGCUAUCUAAGAUGAUAUAUGUUGUGAAAUUAGUGAAAACUACUUGAACAAUAUGUAUUAGAUCUGAUAUAAGUCGUAACAUGGUUGCUGUUGGA